rnacentral:rRNA from 1 species
AUUGAACGCUGGCGGAAUGCUUUACACAUGCAAGUCGAGCGGCAGCGCGGCCUUCGGGCUGGCGGCGAGCGGCGAACGGGUGAGUAAUGCAUCGGAACAUGCCCAGUCGUGGGGGAUAACACUUCGAAAGAAGUGCUAAUACCGCAUACGUCCUGAGGGGGAAAGCGGGGGAUCGCAAGACCUCGCGCGAUUGGAGUGGCCGAUGUCAGAUUAGCUAGUUGGUGGGGUAAAGGCCUACCAAGGCGACGAUCUGUAGCUGGUCUGAGAGGAUGAUCAGCCACACUGGGACUGAGACACGGCCCAGACUCCUACGGGAGGCAGCAGUGGGGAAUUUUGGACAAUGGGGGCAACCCUGAUCCAGCCAUUCCGCGUGAGUGAAGAAGGCCUUCGGGUUGUAAAGCUCUUUCGGCAGGAACGAAACGGUGGGCUCUAACAGAGUCCGCUAAUGACGGUACCUGAAGAAGAAGCACCGGCUAACUACGU